rnacentral:tRNA from 1 species
GGGGAUUUAGCUCAGUGGUAGAGCACUUGCCUAGCAAGCACAAGGCCCUGGGUUCGGUCUCCAGCUCCA